rnacentral:misc_RNA from 1 species
AAAAAGAGUAAGCCACACUGUUAUUACUGUUGAGGCUAGCUUUGUAUACUGUGAACUUAUUCAUUAUCUGUGCUUGAAGAUAUGUGAAGAGCAGUGAUGAACAAUGGUACACGAUUGCAACAAGCUUGCAUCUUGUACUGUCAAAACGAGAGGAGAAAACUGGCGAUUUUGCAGCCUUGUUCGGAUCUAUCAGCAUUACCAGGUGUUUACAG